GUAGGUGGCAAGCGUUGUCCGGAUUUACUGGGCGUAAAGAGCGCGCAGGCGGUCGUUCAAGUCGCGUGUGAAAGCCCCCGGCUCAACUGGGGAGGGUCACGCGAUACUGAUCGACUCGAAGGCAGGAGAGGGAAGUGGAAUUCCCGGUGUAGUGGUGAAAUGCGUAGAUAUCGGGAGGAACACCAGUGGCGAAGGCGACUUCCUGGCCUGUUCUUGACGCUGAGGCACGAAAGCGUGGGGAGCAAACAGGAUUAGAUACCCUGGUAGUCCACGCCCUAAACGAUGCGAACUGGACGUUGGGAGCAACUAGGCUCUCAGUGUCGAAGCUAACGCGUUAAGUUCGCCGCCUGGGGAGUACGGUCGCAAGACUG
rnacentral:rRNA from 1 species